rnacentral:rRNA from 1 species
AACCUUACCAGGGCUUGACAUUCAGGUGAAGCGGCGGAAANCGUNGUGGGCCGAGAGGAGCCUGAACCAGGUGGUGCAUGGCUGUCGUCAGCUCGUGUCGUGAGAUGUUGGGUUAAGUCCCGCAACGAGCGCAACCCUCGUCGCAUGUUGCCAGCGGUUCGGCCGGGCACCCAUGCGAGACCGCCGGCGUUAAGCCGGAGGAAGGUGGGGACGACGUCAAGUCAUCAUGCCCCUUAUGUCCUGGGCUGCACACGUGCUACAAUGGUCGGCACAAUGGGCUGCCAGCCCGCGAGGGCGAGCGAAUCCCUAAAGCCGGCCCCAGUUCGGAUUGGAGGCUGCAACCCGCCUCCAUGAAGUCGGAGUUGCUAGUAAUCGCGGAUCAGCACGCCGCGGUGAAUGCGUUCCCGGGCCUUGUACACACCGCCCGUCACACCACCCGAGUCGAUUGCACCCGAAGUCGCCGGCCCAACCCGCAAGGGAGGGAGGCGCCGAAGGUGUGGUUGGUAAGGGGGGUGAAGUCGUAACAAGGUAGCCGUACGAGAACGUGCGGCUGGAUCACCU